GACGAACGCUGGCGGCGUGCCUAAUACAUGCAAGUCGAGCGAGUCUGCCUUGAAGAUCGGAGUGCUUGCACUCUGUGAAACAAGAUACAGGCUAGCGGCGGACGGGUGAGUAACACGUGGGUAACCUGCCCAAGAGAUCGGGAUAACACCUGGAAACAGAUGCUAAUACCGGAUAACAACAGAUGAUGCCUACCAACUGUUUAAAAGAUGGUUCUGCUAUCACUCUUGGAUGGACCUGCGGUGCAUUAGCUAGUUGGUAGGGUAACGGCCUACCAAGGCGAUGAUGCAUAGCCGAGUUGAGAGACUGAUCGGCCACAUUGGGACUGAGACACGGCCCAAACUCCUACGGGAGGCAGCAGUAGGGAAUCUUCCACAAUGGACGCAAGUCUGAUGGAGCAACGCCGCGUGAGUGAAGAAGGGUUUCGGCUCGUAAAGCUCUGUUGUUGGUGAAGAAGGACAGGGGUAGUAACUGACCUUUGUUUGACGGUAAUCAAUGAGAAAGUCACGGCUAACUACGUG
rnacentral:rRNA from 1 species